UGAAUCCCCUUUUCCCGUAUCGUCUCUGUUGGUGCAGCGUCCAGAGGAGGUGGAGCAGCGGGCCAACAUCCAUCUUCACCUCCCACCUAGCGGCUGGACCGCCCCUUGCAGCGAACAUGGUGAGCCCAACUACCCCCUGAUCUGAAUAUAACCUGCACUUUCUACGUUUUGGUUGAAGUCUGGUUCAGUUUGUACGUUUCUUUACUUUAGUUCACCUGCACCUUCUGUUCUCCUGUUCUGUACUUUAGUUGCCUUUGGCAUUAACUGCAGAGUUGGCAAUGCAAUGCUCUAAUUGCCAGUCGAAAUGGUAGAUCAACUUUAAGACUUAAUAAACCAUACUAAACAAAUUUAUCACAAUAUGUGGAUUCUUAUAGUGAUUUGUAGCUGUUGGACAUGAUUAAGGAUAGCUCGAGCAUUAAUUUUUUACGAGCAUUAAUUUAUGCUCUGAAUGUGUGCCACCCAAAAAAAAGUUCCUUCACAAAUAAUUCAACCAUGACAUAAGUGUGCCAGUUCGCUGUUUUCGUAAGAUACAUUUAAGAAGAAAGUGUAUUUUUCAGUUUGCUAUUUUAGAAUGUAUGUGUCAGUUCGCUGUUUUAGAAUUUGUAGGUGUCAGUUCACUGUUUUUCUAAGUUCAAGGCUCACGGUAAUCUUCUUGUUAAAAUGUAUUUUUCUAAGAUCAAAGCUCACGGCAAUGUUCUUACACCCUGGUUUGCACCUGGUUAUCACACUAAUGUGGAGUAGCUCUUUUUGUAUUAUCUUACAUGUCUGCUAAUUAUUGUGUCAUUGACUCCUGCUUUUGUCAGUUCUUAAAUUCCUCCAGUAAAGCGAAAAUACCAAAAAGAUAUUGAGUUUGGUUGUCUGCAUUUUCUUUGUCCAGAAUUUCCUGGAACAAUCUUAGAUAGUUUGAAGUUUAAUUUUCUGUUUCUAUGACCUGUUUAGGUUGGACUAAUUAUACUCCAGAAUUUAUAUCUCGGGAUUUUAACAUCAUCUUCAGGAACAUAGUGGCAGCUCUCUUCAUUCUUAUAGAUUUGCUACCAUCUGUAUUAUAAUGCUUUUUUAUUUGAAACCAUAAUUUUGUUGUUGUUAUAGUGCUUCAAAGGAUACAUGCUAGACAAUGGACGAAUGAGCAGACCAUCCUCGAGCAGAGACUGCUCUCAACAACAUCCUUCCAUGUGUGGACGCGAGUACAACCAACCGAACCAUAGAAGCAAGUGAUGCUUGUGAUUUGCUUCUAGCCUUAUCCUGGAAGCAAGUGAAACUUUGUUUGUAGUAGUGUCAGUUUACUAGUUUAUCAGCCAUGUUGGUGUUGGUGUUAAAGUGUAGUGAAACUUUGUUUGUAGUAGUGUCAGUUUACUAGUUUAUCAGCCAUGUUGGUGUUGGUGCUAAAAGUGUGUAUUUUGAUUGUGCAAACCUGAGAGAUGUAUUAUGUGAUGUUAUAUGAUGGAUGAUUUUAAUUCGACUUGGAGCUUUCUUGAUUUGAAUAUGAAAUAGUGCUGCAUUUAAUAUUGGAC
rnacentral:lncRNA from 1 species